AGAGUUUGAUCCUGGCUCAGAACGAACACUGGCGGCGUGGAUUAGGCAUGCAAGUCGAGCGGGAUUAACCUGCUUCAAUCCUUCGGGAGAGAAGCUUGUUAUGAGAGCGGCGAACGGGUGAGUAAUAUAUGGGUAAUUUGCCUUGGAGCUCGGGAUAGCCAUCCGAAAGGGUGGGUAAUACCGAAUGUGCUCGGGUACCGCAUGGUACCUUAUGUAAAGGUGGGGAUCUUCGGACCUGCCUCUCCAAGAUAGGCCCAUAUCCUAUCAGCUUGUUGGUAAGGUAAUGGCUUACCAAGGCUUACGGGUAGCCGACCUGAGAGGGUGACCGGCCACACUGGGACUGAGACACUGCCCAGACUCCUACGGGAGGCUGCAGUCGAGAAUCAUUGUCAAUGUACGAAAGUAUGAACAUGCGACGCCGCGUGGAGGACGACGGCCUUCGGGUUGUAAACUCCUGUCCUGAGGGAGUAAGUGUAGAAGAGUGAAUACCUCUUUUAUUUGAUAGUACCUCAGAAGAAAGUCACGGCUAACUCUGUGCCAGCAGCCGCGGGUAAUACAGAGGUGGCAAGUGUUGUUCGGAUUUACUGGGCGUAAA
rnacentral:rRNA from 1 species